CUAUGGUAAACAAUGCUACAGUGAACAUGAUUGUGCUGGAUCAUAGAGGAGCUCUAUGUUCAGUCUUUUGAAGAACCUUCAAACUGCUUUCCAGAGUGGGUGAACAAGUUUUCAUUCACAGCAACAGUGCAGUAGUGUUCAGUUUUGGCCACAUCCCCCCAGCAU